AACGAACGCUGGCGGCAUGCCUAACACAUGCAAGUCGAACGAGACCUUCGGGUCUAGUGGCGCACGGGUGCGUAACGCGUGGGAAUCUGCCCUUGGGUUCGGAAUAACAGGUGGAAACGACUGCUAAUACCGGAUGAUGACGUAAGUCCAAAGAUUUAUCGCCCAGGGAUGAGCCCGCGUAGGAUUAGCUAGUUGGUGGGGUAAAGGCCUACCAAGGCGACGAUCCUUAGCUGGUCUGAGAGGAUGAUCAGCCACACUGGGACUGAGACACGGCCCAGACUCCUACGGGAGGCAGCAGUGGGGAAUAUUGGACAAUGGGCGAAAGCCUGAUCCAGCAAUGCCGCGUGAGUGAUGAAGGCCUUAGGGUUGUAAAACUCUUUUACCCGGGAUGAUAAUGACAGUACCGGGAGAAUAAGCCCCGGCUAACUCCGU
rnacentral:rRNA from 1 species